GUGCCGUCAGAAGCUCUCCCAUUUCUAACCGCAGCCCCCCCCUCCCCUUCCCCCAUUAAGCCACCAAGUAGAUCAUUAACAAGGAACUAACAAGCCCCACCAUCGGCUCUCUUCUCCCCUCUCUCCUCAGCACCUCCAUUAAGAAGCGUUGAGAAUGAUCUACGACCCCGAGUUCUCAGAUUCUGGUGUAAUUUCCUCCCCCACAUCCGGGAGUGACAGUGUGUGUGCCCUGGCAAAGCCAAACAAUAAAUUUUGAUUGACAUCGAUUGCUCCUUAAUUGGGAACGUGAAAGCCUACUAGGAAGGAAGCCAAAAGACCAGUUGCAUAUGACUUGACUUGCCAUUUAUGAUGUUUACUCCACAGGCUGCUUCCCGAUAGAAGCUUCUCCAUUUAAUCUGACCAAAGGAAGCAAGCCUUCACAGCUUUCACAGAUAGAUCUGCGUGUGAAAAGCUGAAGUAAGGGGAGUACAGACCAAGGGAUCACAUAAGGAAAAAGUCCAAAUCCUGGAUAGCAUGCAGCAUCAGCAACUAAUUUGGAGGAGUCCCCAGCACAGUUGAACUUCUGCACAACAGGAGAGGAGCUUUUAUCAUACAAAUAGCUACCCCCUUUCUUCACCAAUGACCGAUUCUGGGUUAUCCUGGAACAUAACAAAGCUACUGAUAAUUGUAGCUCAGCUCAGCCUCAGUGGGUCUCCUAUGUUUAUGUCUUUUGAGGAUAGGUUACAGUGGCAAUGAACCUUCCCAGAGGAUUGAGAUGGGGCAGAGAUGUUGCUACUUGCUCCACACUAGAAAGUGUUUCCUUCUUCAUUAGAUUGUAAAUUUGUAUUCCUUCCUUACAAAGGGAACUGCCACAGUAUCAGAGGGGGAGCCAAGGAAAGCUAGCCUCAGGCACAUAGGACUGUGCUUUGCUGUGGAGAAGCUCUGACCUCCCA